AUACGGAGGGUGCAAGCGUUACUCGGAAUCACUGGGCGUAAAGCGCGCGCAGGCGGUCUUUUAAGUUGGAUGUGAAAGCCUACGGCUCAACCGUAGAACUGCAUCCAAAACUAUUAGACUAGAGUGUGGGAGAGGAAGAUGGAAUUAGUUGUGUAGGGGUAAAAUCCGUAGGGGUAACUAGGAAUACCAAAAGCGAAGGCAAUCUUCUGGAACACUACUGACGCUGAGGUGCGAAAGCGUGGGUAGCAAACGGGAUUAGAAACCCUAGUAGUCC
rnacentral:rRNA from 1 species